rnacentral:rRNA from 1 species
ACUUAAAAAUAAUUUGCCCUGAACAAGCCCGAUUCCAUCUGAUCUUGGAAACUAAGCAGGGUCAGGCCUGGUUAGUACUUGGAUGGGAGACCACCUAGGAAGAUCAGGUGCUGUCGGCG